GGCAAAAUCAAGUAAUUGAUUUUCCUCCUUGUGAAAAAGCCCGUAUCUCACGAUACGGGCUUUUUUUUGCGUCGGA
rnacentral:sRNA from 1 species